rnacentral:rRNA from 1 species
AGAGUUUGAUCAUGGCUCAGAAUGAACGUUGGCGGCAUGGAUUAGGCAUGCAAGUCGAGCGCGAAACGUAGCAAUACGUGGAGAGCGGCGAAAGGGAGAGUAAUACGUAGGUACCUACCCCGAGGUCUGGGAUAGCCAUGCUAACGCGUGGGGUAUACCAGUAAUGUCUUCGGACCAAAGGUUUACCACCUUAGGAGGGGCCUGCGGCCUAUCAGCUUGUUGGCGAGGUAAUAGCUCACCAAGGCUAAGACGGGUAUGGGGUGUGAGAGCAUGCCCCCACUCACUGGGACUGAGAACUGCCCAGACACCUACGGGUGGCUGCAGUCGAGAAUCUUCGGCAAUGGGCGCAAGCCUGACCGAGCGAUGCCGCGUGCGGGAUGAAGGCUUUCGGGUUGUAAACCGUUGUCGUAGGGGAGCAAGACCGCAAGGUUUGAGAGAUCCUAGGAGGAAGGACCGGCUAAGUCUGUGCUAGCAGCCGCGGUAAUC